CCUACGGGUUGCAGCAGUGGGGAAUAUUGCACAAUGGGCGCAAGCCUGAUGCAGCCAUGCCGCGUGUAUGAAGAAGGCCUUCGGGUUGUAAAGUACUUUCAGCGGGGAGGAAGGGAGUAAAGUUAACACCUGCAUUAUUUGACGUUACCUACAGAAGAAGCACCGGCUAACUCCGUGCCAGGAGCCGCGGUAAUACGGGGGGUGCGAGCGUUAAUCGGAAUUACUGGGCGUAAAGCGCAUGCAGGCGGCCUGUUAAGUCAGAUGUGAAAGCCCGGGGCUUAACCUCGGAAUUGCAUUUGAAACUGGCAGGAUAGAGUCUUGUAGAGGGGGGUAGAAUUUCAGGUGUAGCGGUGAAAUGCGUAGACAUCUGAAGGAAUACCAGUGGCGAAGGCGGCCCCCUGGACAAAGACUGACGCUCAGAUGCGAAAGCGUGUGGAGCAAACAGGAUUAGAUACCCGCGUAGUC
rnacentral:rRNA from 1 species